rnacentral:rRNA from 1 species
GUCCUUUAGAUUAGUAUUUAAGGUUUAACCUGCCCAUUGAUUAAAAAUUUAACGGCCGCAGUAAUUUGACUGUGCAAAGGUAGCAUAAUCAUUAGUUUUUUAAUUAAAAGCUUGUAUGAAUGGUUGGACGAGAUAAAAACUGUCUCUAUUUAAUAAAUAGAAUUUAAUUUUUAAGUUAAAAAGCUUAAAUUUUAAUAAAAGACGAGAAGACCCUAUAGAUCUUUAUAUAAUUUUUUUUUAAUUUAAUUAAUGAUUAUUUAUUAAUUUAAAAAUUUUUAUAUUUUAUUGGGGUAAUAAAAAGAUUAAAAUAAUUCUUUUUUAUUUAACAUAAAUUAAUGAUUAUAUGAUCCAUUUUUAGUGAUUAUAAUUUUAAGUUACCUUAGGGAUAACAGCGUAAUUUUUUUAGAGAGUUCUUAUCGAUAAAAAAGUUUGCGACCUCGAUGUUGGAUUAAAAAUUAUUUUAGGCGUAGAAGUUUAGAA